rnacentral:tmRNA from 1 species
GGGGGCGUUACGGAUUCGACAGGGGUAGUUUGAGCUUAAGUUGCGUGUCGAGGGGAUCGGCCUCGUUAAAACGUCAAAGCCUAUAACUGGCAAAAAUAAUUACGCUUUAGCUGCCUAAUAAACGUAGCUGCCCUUCUCGCUAUCGCCCAUGUAGUCGGGGUCAGGGCCCAUUUCAGUGGGAUACGCCGGACAUCCUCCGCCUGAGGAUUAAGGAAGAGCUCAAUCAGGCUAGCAUCGCUGACGCCUGUCGAUAGGCAAAUGCGAUUGCGAAACGCCAAUAUAUCGACUACACACGUAGAAGCUUAAGUGGCAAUGCCUUUGGACGUGGGUUCGACUCCCACCGUCUCCACCA